rnacentral:tRNA from 1 species
AAGUAUGAUAAUGAUAUUUUGCAAAAAUAUUCUAGAUGAUUUUGUGUCGUCCAUGCUUU